AUGGCCAUAUCAUACUGAAGCACCAGUUCUCAUCUAAUCACGGAAGUUAAGCAAUGCUGAACUUGGCCAGUAACUAGAUGGGUGACUACUUAGGAAUAGCAUGAGCUGUAA